rnacentral:rRNA from 1 species
CUAAUUUGAUAUUAACACUAUUAGGUGGAUAGCUUGGUUUGGAUUGCGAUGAAGGACGUGGCAAGCUGCGAUAAGCUCAGGGUAGGCGCAUGCAGCCUUUGAACCUGAGAUCUCCUAAUGCGAAAACGUUCUCUUCGGAGAAUGCAGAAAUGCAAGCAUACGCCGGGAAUUGAAACAUCUUAGUACCGGCAGGAAAAGAAAUCAUUUGAGAUGCCCCCAUUAGCAGCGAGCGAAAAGGGCUCAGGGCGAACCGAAUCUUCCGUCGAAAGAUGGAUAGAGAUGUGGUGAGAAUAAAUAGCUAAGUUAUUGAAGAAAAGUUUUCUGGAAAGAAAUACCUCAGAGGGUGAUAGUCCCGUAUCUGAAAAUAAUAUGUUGUUUCUCGAUAGAGUAGGGCUUCCUAGAUAGGAUGUCUGAAUACGCGAGGAUUAACUCGCAACCCUAAACAUCAAUCCAAGUCCGAUAGCAAACAGAGUACCGCGAGGGAAAGCUGAAAAGUACCCAUAAACGGGGGUCAAAAGACUUGAAAUCUAAUAGUUACAUCUGGUUACGGCAUUAAGGUGUUGUAACGUGCGUUUUGAAAAACGAACCAAGGAGUUUAUUUAAGUGGCAAGGUUAAAAUGAAGCCGAAGCGAAAGCGAGUCCGAAAGGGCGAUAGUCACUUGGAUAAGACCCGAAGCUAGACGAUCUAAUCGUGAGCAGGACGAAGUUUUCCGAAAGGGAAAUGGAGGUCCGAACCAGUGUUAUGUGCAUGUACUUGGAUGACUUGCGAUUAGGGGUGAAAAGCCAAUCUAGUUUAGCGAUGGCUGGUUCCUGUCGAAAUAUGCCUCCGUAUAGUCUUAUUUAGUUUGGAGACGAGGUAAAGUACGGAUAGAGUUUGCAGACCCGCAAGGGUACGGAACUCUUUCCAACUCAGAACUUGUUUUCUGCAAAAAAUAGGAAUGGGGGGCAGCGCGUAAGGUGCUGUUCCGAGACCCGAACAAGGGAGACUAAAGUUAAGGUCCCAAAAAGUAUGUUAAGUGUGACAAAGGGAGUCUGAAACCUAAGACACUAGGGAUGUAGGCUUAGAAGCAGCCACCAUUCAAAGAAAGCGUAACAGCUCACCUAUCGAGGUUUUAGGCCCCGAAAAUGGACGGGGCUAAACAUACUACCGAUACUUUAGAGGCACUCGCAAGAGUGUUCUGGUAGACAGGCGCGGAUUCUGCGCAGAAGUUCUUCCGAGAGGAAAGAUGGAGCGGAAUCCGACGAGAAUCUUGGUGUAAGUAAGAUCAAAUUAUUCUGAGAACGAAUAACGUCGAAAGAGCGCGGUUUCCUUGGCACUAUCGUUUAACCAAGGGUUAGUCGGCGCCUAAGUCACACCUUAGCUGGUUGUGGCGAAUGGAAAUCUGGUUAAUAUUCCAGAACUAAUUAAACUCGUUAUUACAUAAAUCGCUUUGGGAUAAGCAGAGGUCCGGAAGGACUAAUGCGCAAGAAGUCUGUGGAUCAUAAUGAUUAGAAGCAGAGAAUUGCGCGUGAAUCUGCUGACUCCGAGAGCCCUUGAAAACUUUAUGUCUAGAGUUUAGUUAGCCGUACCUAGAACCGACACUGGUGCUCUGGCUGAGAAGGCCAAGACGUGAAAGGACAACCUGGUUAAGGGAAUUCGGCAAACUGGCCCCGUAUCUUCGGUAGAAGGGGUGUCUAUGUUCGUACCAUUAGGUGCGUUUGUAGAUCGCAGUAACAAGGAUCGCCCGACUGUUUAUCAAAAACAUAGCCGAGUGCAAACCCGAAAGGACUAGUAUACUCGGUGAGACCUGUCCAGUGGUGGUGUUUCAAACUUCAGUUCAAUGGAGCUAAGACCCAUCAAACGGCGGGCCUAACUAUGAGGCUCUUAAGGUUAAGUAACGCUAGCUUUACAUUAUCGUCGGUAAAACGGUAAUGCUCCAAGCUUCACAGUUAAGAAUAAACAGAAAAUAAAAAACCAAAAUGGAGAAAAUCGAGCUAUUUGCUGGAAACUCCGAGAAUAUCUAAAUACUCGUCGAUAAAUUUAAUUUCAUCGUCAGUAAAAAUUUUAGAUUGCGGACAAUCAGCAGGAAAGACGAGGAAAGUUUAAAUAAAGAAUAUCUGUAUAAGUUUUAUGGUAAUGUUAUCAACAACCGUGAAUAACAUACACAGAUAUGGUCCUGAAUGUAUGACUAAUCGUAGUUCAUUAGUAGACGGAGCAAGCUUAGAUGCGCUUGCAGAUUAUGUAUCUAGAUAUGAAUCCGAACUUAGAGAAUUUGAAAAAUUAUCUCUAGGUAGGAAGAUAAUUUCAUAUAUUUCAGGAGAUAAUCCAAAAGUUGAUAUGGUAUAUUUCAGUCUUGCUAAAAGAAGACUUGAACGAGAAAGCCAUAAGUAAUUCUCGAAUCCUCAGAGACUUUACGCUCGACACUAAUUAAUUCGCGAGAAUAGUUAUCAAAUAAUUAUUCUCCAAGCGAAGCAUUUUGUCGAAGACAAAUGCGAAGCAAUUAAUUCGCGAAGAUAAAGUCCGAACUUCAUAGCGAUAUGAAGAAUUGAAUUCAAUUAGAAUUCAGAUUAACAAAAUGAGCGUAAUGCCUUGUCGUCUGAAUGGCGACGUGCAUGAAUGGUUUAAUGAGGUGGUCGCUGUCCCUAACCAGAACCUUCUGAACUCAUCUACUGGUGAACACGCCAGUAAUGCCUAUUGGGAAGCAGAGACCUUGUGAACCUUUACUGCAACUUGUUGUUGUAGCUUUAAGGGGAAUGCAUAGAGUAGGUAGGAGCGUCGAUGUUGCAUUUUAGGAUGCAACGGAGCAACCCUGUAACACUACCUAUUUCCCUUGAAGUUGCUCACUCGCUUUAGCGGGGACACCAGCAGGCGGGCAGUUUGGCUGGGGCGGCACCCUGCAGAAAAGAUAUCUGCAGGGCCCAAAGUUAAGCUCAUCCAGGUCGGAAAUCUGGAGUUGAGUGCAGAGGCAAAAGCUUAACUGACUGCGUUUCGCACAGCAAAGAACGCAGAGAUGAAAGUCUGGCUCAGCGACCCCACGUGAUCUUUUAAUAGGAUCCGUGUGUGACAGAAAAGGUACUCCAAGGAUAAUUGGCUUGUCGCGCCCGAUAGUCCAUAUUGACGGCGCGGUUUGGUGCGUCGCUGUCGGCUCUUCCUAUCCUGGUACUGCACAAGGUACCAAGGGUGUCGGAGUUCA